CCUACGGGUGGCAGCAGUCGAGAAUCAUUCACAAUGGGGGAAACCCUGAUGGUGCGACGCCGCGUGGGGGAAUGAAGGUCUUCGGAUUGUAAACCCCUGUCAUGUGGGAGCAAAUUAAAAAGAUAGUACCACAAGAGGAAGAGACGGCUAACUCUGUGCCAGCAGCCGCGGUAAUACAGAGGUCUCAAGCGUUGUUCGGAAUCACUGGGCGUAAAGCGUGCGUAGGCUGUUUCGUAAGUCGUGUGUGAAAGGCGCGGGCUCAACCCGCGGACGGCACAUGAUACUGCGAGACUAGAGUAAGGGAGGGGGAACCGGAAUUCUCGGUGUAGCAGUGAAAUGCGUAGAUAUCGAGAGGAACACUGGUGGCGAAGGCGGGUUCCUGGACAUUAACUGACGCUGAGGCACGAAGGCCAGGGGAGCGAAAGGGAUUAGAUACCCGGGUAGUC
rnacentral:rRNA from 1 species